ensembl:lncRNA
AUAGCAAACAGGAGUUAUUUGGUCACAGGACAGAUCUUCCGCCAGUAAACAGUCUAGUAAACAAUCCUGAGCACUCCCUUCUGAAGGCAAAUAGCUCCAAAGAAAUGCUUUCAAAUGUAAAAUUGUCCAGACAGUGAUGUUGAUUGCCACACAGCAACACCCACAUCUCAUCUCCUAAAGUCUUAUCACAAGAAAUACCUCAGGAAGCAAGCUUUGAGCUAGAAAACAAAGAAGGUUUCAUACACAAGGUCCUGCAUCUGAGUUGGCAUGAUCCCACACACAGUGCAGGUUGGGUGGAGAAUGGUUUUAGAGCAUCCCUGAGGAGAAGGAUUUAGGAGUGCUGAUUGAAGAAAGACUCAGCAUGAGCCAGCAGUGUGUGAUUGCAGCCCAGAAGGAGAGCUGUAUCCUGGAUUGCAUCAGGAAAAGCAUGAUCAGCAGGUCAAUGAAGGUGAUUCUGCUUAUCUACUCUGCUCUCAUGAGACCCCGCCUGGAGUACUGUGUCCAUUUCUGAAGCUCCCAACGUAAGAAGGACAUGGGGUUGUUGGAAAUGGUCCAGAGCAGGGCCAUGAAGGUGAUCAGAGGGCUGGAACACCUACACUACGAGGACAGGCUGAGAGAGCUGGGGUUCUUCAGACUGGAGAAGAGGAGGCUCCAAGGAGACCUUAUAGAGGCCUUCCACAACCUGAAGGGGGCCCACAGGAAAGCUGAGGGAGAACUUUUUAUGAGGGCGGGUAGCAACAGGCUGAAGGGAAAUGGUUUUAAACUAGAAAAUGGUAGGCAUAGACUAGAUAUCAGAGAGAUAUUCUGUACUGUGAGGGGAGUGAGACACUAGAACAGGUUGCCCAGUAAGGCUGUGAAUGCCCCCUCCCUGGAAGCAUUCAAGUAUAACUUGGAACAGCCAAUGCAAUCCCGGCAUUUAGACCAGAUAACUGUGAAACUACAACUGUAGGAGGAAUUUGUAACAUAUGUUACUGCUAUGAGUUCCUGUCAUGCACUACCCAGCAAACAAAGCAAAAUGAGUGAGCUUGCGAAAUUAUAUAUCAAGACUUUCAUUCUAUUGUGAAUAACAGAAGAUAUUUGAAUCUUACUAUAAAUACAGUACUGUGGAGUGCAUUUAUAUGUUAAAUUAAGGGGUUAUUAGUGCUGUUUACAGAAACACAUCAAGACUGGUUUAUAUGAAUCACGUUCUAACACAUAGGAAAUUUGUUUUCAGUAAGAGAAAAAACAUCCUGGUGAAAAAGAAAAGAUCUGUAAUGUUGUAAGAACAGUGAACAUAAUUUCAU